GCGGAGUUGUGCUUGUCGCCGAAGCGGGGUGGGCCGAAGGAGGGGAGGUUCGUUCCGCGGAGCCGCAGCCAGAACCGGGUGACGCUUAUCCCCGCUGUCUUUCCAGUCUAGGGUCGCCGAGAGUGGGGGUGGCUGGGAGCAGCGCAGCCUCCUGAGGAGGAGGCGGAGGCCGAGGACCAGGAAUCAUCUUCAAGCGUAUGUCGUGAGGCUUUGGCAGAAAUUAAGAAGGAAAUAUCUCCAUUGUUCAUUGGCAUGGAUAAAUGUUCAGUGGGAGGAUUAGAAUUGACUGAACAGAGUCCUGCGUUAUUAGGGAAUAUGGCCAUGGCAACUAGUCUCAUGGACAUAGGGGAUUCAUUUGGUCAUCCAGCUUGUCCUUUAGUCAGUAGAUCUAGGAACUCACCAGUGGAAGAUGAUGACGAUGAUGAUGUUGUGUUUAUUGAAUCUAUACAACCUCCUUCAAUUUCUGCUCCAGCAAUAGCUGAUCAAAGCAACUUUGUAUUUGCAUCAUCAAAAAAUGAAAAGCCUCAAGGAAAUUAUUCUGUAAUUCCUCCUUCUUCAAGAGAUUUGGCAUCUCAGAAAGGAAAUAUAAGUGAGACAAUUGUUAUUGAUGAUGAAGAGGACAUAGAAACAAAUGGAGGAGCAGAGAAAAAUUCUUCCCGUUUUAUUGAAUGGGGACUUCCUGGAACUAAAAACAAAACCAAAGAUUUGGAUUUCUCCACUUCCAGUCUUUCAAGAAGUAAGGUAAAUGCAGAAAUGGGUAAUAGUGGUAUCACUACAGAAUUGACUCUGAAAUAUGUUAUUACUAAUGUUACAACCUUAGAAACAGGUAUAAGCUCUGUGAAUGCUGGGCAAGAUGUGAACAUAAUGAUUACAUAUAAAACAUCACUAUAGAAUACCAACUUGGGAGAUGUCGCUAAAGGACUUCAGUCAAGUAAUUUUGGUGUUAAUAUACAAACGUACACCCCAUCUUUAACUCCACAGACCAAGACUGGAGUAAGACCUUUUAACCCUGGUAGGAUGAAUGUGGCAGGAGACUUAUUUCAGAAUGGAGAAUUUGCAACUCAUCAUAGUCCUGAGAUGCAUCUACAAAGAAGGCUAAUGUUGUUCUUCCAGUAGAAUCAAGCAAAUCCUUCCAAGAAUUUUGUAGUACAUCUUGUUUGUCUCCCUGUGAAAACAACCGGAAUCUUAAAAAAGGAAUUUUUAAUAAGUCAAGAUGUACAAUUUGUAGUAAAUUAGCAGAGAUUCGCCAUGAAGUCAGCGUAAAUAAUGUAACACAUAAACUGUGCAGUAACCAUUGCUUUAAUAAGUACAGAUUGGCCAAUGGUCUAAUAAUGAACUGCUGUGAACACUGUGGAGAGUACAUGCCUAGUAAGAGUACUGGAAACAACAUCCUGGUGUUUGGAGGUCAGCAGAAGAUAUUUUGCUGCCAAAGUUGUAUUAACGAAUAUAAACAGAUGAUGGAAACAAAAUCAAAAAAAUUAACAGCAUCAGAAAAUAGAAAAAGGAAUGCUUUUAGAGAAGAAAAUGAGAAACAAUUCUGUGGAUCGUCAAAUACACUUUUGAAAAAAAUAGAGGGAAUCCCAGAAAAAAAGGAAAAGACUUCACAGCUACAGCUUUCAGUAGAAUGUGGCACGGAUACAUUACUGAUCCAAGAGAAUGUGAAUUUACCUCCUUCUUCCACAUCAACCAUAGCUGAUAUAUUUCAAGAGCAACUGGAAGAGAAAAAUUUUGAAGACUGCAUUGUACCAGUUGUGCUUUCCGCAGAUCCAGGUACGUGGCCCCGAAUUUUGAAUAUUAAACAACGGGACACUCUUGUUGAAAAUGUUCCGCCUCAAGUAAGAAAUUUUAACUUUCCAAAAGAUAAUACAGGGAGGAAGUUUUCAGAAACUUAUUAUACACGGAUUCUUCCAAAUGGCGAAAAAACCACUAGAUCCUGGUUACUUUAUUCGACCUCAAAAGAUUCUGUGUUUUGUCUGUAUUGCAAACUCUUUGGGGAAGGAAAAAAUCAACUGAAAAAUGAAAAUGGGUGCAAAGAUUGGCAACAUUUAUCACAUAUUCUUAGUAAACAUGAAGAAAGUGAAAUGCACAUCAACAAUAGUGUUAAGUACUCAAAAUUAAAAUCUGAUCUGAAAAAAAAUAAAGCUAUUGAUGCUGCAGAACGCAGAUUAUAUGAAAAUGAGAAAAAUGAUGGUGUGCUAUUGUUGUACACGUAAUAUACCUGAUUUGUUUUUUGGCAUGAUGAUCAGAAUCUUACAUUACUCAGAAAACAUCUGUCCUGCAAUAGUCAGUACUAUUGUGUUGUAAGUUUCCUCUACAGUGUAACUUGCAGCAGUUCCUUAACAAUAAGUAUGAUAGCAAAUAAAUAGCAAAGAAUGUUUCCAUUCUAAAUCUAAAACUAAUUAAAUUCAAUCAUCAUUAGGCAGUGACUUCAUUAGGCAAUGAAGAUUAACAAUAGGUAAUUGUUAAUCUUCAAAAUCUAUCGAUUUACACCUAUUUAAAAAUUGGCAUUUAAUGACUGUCAUUUGACGGGUUUGGUUAAUAUUCUGUUCUUGGCCGGGCGCAAUGGCUCACGUCUGUAAUCCCAGAACUUUGGGAGGCCCAGGCGGGUAGAUCAAUUGAGGUCAGAAGUUCAAGACCAGCCUGGCCAACAUGGCAAAACCUCAUCUUUACUAAAAAUACAAAAAUUAGCCAGGUGUGGUGGCACACACCUGUAGUCCCAGCUACUCAGGAGGCUGAGGCAGGAGAAUUGCUUGAACCCAGAAGGCAGAGAUUGCAGUGAGCUGAGACUGCACCACUGCACUCCACCCUGAGCAACAGAGCGAGAGUCAGUCUCGAAAGAAAAAAAAUAUUAUGUUCUAAUUACCUUGAAAGAGGAAAGAAAGGCUUGAAUUGAUCAAUACCAGUUUGAAUAAGAUACUUAUGUGAACAAGCAUUCUCAACAUUAUUAUUAAAAUAAAACUACUCAGUUUACAGAAUGGGAUCUGAAACUACAGCUUUUUGCUAUUAAACCAAAUACUGUGGUCUACUUCGUUUGAGCAAAACAGCAUUAUUUGUUAUGUUAAUGAUGGUUAAUUUCCAUUUUAUUGGUUUUAUGUUUAUUUUAAUUUGUAAAUGUUUUAGCAUUUAUUAUUGUAUGUGAACUAUAUUUACCUAUUUUAUGUUGAUAAAAAUAUAAAAAAUAUUAAAAUAAGUAUAUAUUAAGUUAA
rnacentral:sRNA from 1 species